CACAGUUUGAAAGUGCACCGUCUAUUUAUUUCAUACCAUUACGAUGAGUCAUCUCUGUCACCUCGUUCUGUUUUUAUAAGUAACAGCUCAACUUCCAGCACUACCGCCUUUUCUAAGGCACCCAAUUACUCUUAAAAAUUAGGAUUUAUUAUGUCUAACACGACUACUGGUACAGUUAAAUGGUUCAACGAAGCUAAAGGUUUUGGUUUUAUCGAGCAAGCUUCAGGUCCUGACGUUUUCGCUCACUUUAGCGCUAUCUCUGGUGACGGUUUCAAAACUUUAGCUGAAGGUCAAAAAGUACAAUUCGUUGUAACUAAAGGCCAAAAAGGUCCUCAAGCUGAGAACAUCGUUGUUCUUUAAUUGAGACUGUAAUUUGCACUCGUUGCAAAUUGUAGAGAAAAGGUAAGAAUUUAUUCUUACCUUUUU
rnacentral:sRNA from 1 species